rnacentral:rRNA from 1 species
GAUGAACGCUGGCGGCGUGCCUAAUACAUGCAAGUCGAGCGAACAGACGAGGAGCUUGCUCCUCUGACGUUAGCGGCGGACGGGUGAGUAACACGUGGAUAACCUACCUAUAAGACUGGGAUAACUUCGGGAAACCGGAGCUAAUACCGGAUAAUAUAUUGAACCGCAUGGUUCAAUAGUGAAAGACGGUUUUGCUGUCACUUAUAGAUGGAUCCGCGCCGCAUUAGCUAGUUGGUAAGGUAACGGCUUACCAAGGCAACGAUGCGUAGCCGACCUGAGAGGGUGAUCGGCCACCCUGGAACUGGGCCACGGUCCAGACUACUACGGGAGGCAGCAGUAGGGAAUCUUCCGCAAUGGGCGAAAGCUUGACGGAGCAACGCCGCGUGAGUGAUGAAGGUCUUCGGAUCGUAAAACUCUGUUAUUAGGGAAGAACAAAUGUGUAAGUAACUAUGCACGUCUUGACGGUACCUAAUCAGAAAGCCACGGCUAACUACGUG